UUUUAUUUUUAAAGGGUGGGGGGGAGGAGGGGUGUGCGGGGGUUGAACAUUCAUUUGAUUAUCGGAACGAGAAGCUUAUAACAAACUCACAAAACCCACAGACUAAUUACUUUGGAAAACAAAUUAAAUAAAUAAAUAAACUAGGAACUAGUUAGGAACUAGGAAGAAUGUUUUGCACUCGGAUCAUCUCUAUAAUUUCAAGCUCUUGGCAGAUUGCAGUAAGCUCAGCAAAAUGUAAGAGAGGCUGUGACACCGUGUGCUUGCCAUCCUUAGAAUUAACUAUUGGGAAAAUGUACAAUCUGGCGCCUCAUGAUCUUGUCUAUUUAAUAAUUACUACUAAUUACUACUAAUAAAUGGCAUCCAUGGCAGCCAUCCCCGUUCACAAUAAAUAGAAGAAAAUAGUUCAAAUGUAGCCCCGAAAGACAGGCUUAGAGCCCCACCAAUGUGGAUUGUGGACGCACAGAGUAUCUAUGGAUGACAUACACCAUGACCAGAUUGUCUAGUAUAAGUCUAGUCUAAUCUAAUUAGGAAAGGUUUCCCUAUAUUCAAGAACAAGGUGCAUGAAAGGAGAAGUGAAAGUGUUGGCAAAUCAAUUUGUUGUUAAAGAGCGUAUGAACCUGAUCCAGCGCAUUUUAGGGAAUCUCUCUCUUACAACAUCACAGAGGAUAUAUAUAUAUAUAUAUAUAUAUAUAUAUAUAUAUAUAUAUAUAUAUAUAUAUAUAUAUAUAUAUAUAUAUAUGUGAGAGAGAAGAGACAGAGGGAAAAUUUUGAAUUAGAAUAUUUUCAAAAGCACCAAAAAGUUUGUAGCCCUUGAAUAUAGUGAUGUAGCGGUAGGAUAAUUGUGGUAGGUGUUGGUAAGUAAAAUAGUAUUUGAUCUAAAUGUUAGAAACCUAAAAGCACUACACGAUUGGUGCUCCUAGGUGUAUUCUAGCUCAAUUCUAUAUAUAUAGGGAGAUAGUAAGGCUAAUGUGCUAUUAAGAGUAUAACAGUUUUUGUGCUCCUAAUUUUAUAAUCAUUUAUCAAUUUUGAUGAAUGAUUAGGGUGAAAAUAUAAGAGAAAUUUGAUGGAAGAAAAAUUAAGACACCUAAAUUCUCUCCUAUUUUUUUUCUCUCUCUCAUCAUAAUCAUCCAUCCAUAUUGAUGGAUGGUUAGGAAAUAAAGAGUAUAAGAACUGUUGUAUUUUAAUAGCAUAGUAGUCUCCUAUACUAUCUAUAGUACUUGGGCUCCGGUACUAAGUCUCGUUUUCGAUCUUAGGGUGUUCAAAUCAACGAUCCACACUGUUAAAACUGAUUUAGGGUAUUUAAAGUUUUUGAAAAUAAAAUUUUAUAUUUUUUCGACAUAGUUUAUUUUAUGAUCAAAUCAUUUUAAAAUUAUCAAUUUUCAAUGGCUACUAUGGCGAGUUUGGAGUUUAACGGUAUAGAAGAAUCUAAAUUUUUUCAAAUUUUGAUAAAAAAUACUUCAAUUUUUACUGUCCAUUUUGACAUAAUUUAUUUACUAAGUAAAUGAUGUAAAAAAAAAACUAAAAUUUUAUUCCUAAGAACUUCAUAUACCUUAAAUCAUAUUUAACGGUGUGAAUCGUUAAUUUGAAUACCCUAAGAUCGAAAAUAAAAUUAUAGUACCGGAGCUCUAUAUUAUAUAUUUUUGAGAGAUAGGUAGCACGCUACCUGUUUCGUUUAUUUUAUUUAGAAAUAAACUUACAAAAAUUGUGAAUCAACUAAGAUUCGAACUUGGGUCUCAGAUACCACCACCAAAUUCUUAUCACUUAUUCUAUGGACGGUCUGUAAUUUUAUAUAUAUAUAUAUUGAUUGUUUUGAGGUGAGGUAGGUAUUAUACCUAACAAACGCAAUGCCUAUCCUAUAUCCUCGGUCCAUUUACAUUGCACUGCAUCAUCGUAUGUCUCGUCUCUCUCCAGUCGGCACUGGCCAGCUGGACCUUAAAUAUAGUUGGUAGCUCCCCACCGAGCUCUAGCUAGCCUAAUUCAUGAAUCAUGAUUAGAGCUCUCAAGAUACUUUAUUAGCGUCUCGGGAUUGACUUGUAAGUGGAGAACUAAAAUUUCAUCAGAGUGCUCUUAUGCGCCGAAGGGCCCAGGGAUGUGAUACGAUCGACUUAUGAGAAUAAAAAAGGACAAAGAGCUAGAUGUUUUUAACUGUUAGAUAUUUUUUGAUUGAAAAUAAAAAAACACCAUGAAUACAAGUCAGAUUCAAAUAAACGAAAGGGAAGCCGAGUGUAACACAAGAUAGUGGGCUAAAAUAAGAGAGCUCACAGUCUACCUUCAUCUAGCAGUUAAAGCGGUGCAACUGGAGCUUGGCAUAAUUGGUAAUUAGAAAUAUCAAGAAGCUAGGAUUUUGAACAUUUGAUCUGUAAAGCAUUUGGCCCAACCAACCGGCCGUCCAUCCAGCAGCAGCAGCAGCAGCAGCAGCAGCAGCAAGGACAACAAAAACAAGGCCGUCCAUCCAACAACAGCAGAAGCAGCAGCAGCAACGACAACAAAAACAGAAACAGAGAAUCUCUGCCAACUCACUUUCGGUCCAAACAACAGGUAAAUGAGGAGUGCGGACCGCCCAUGGUUGGGUCCCGUCGCUUUGUCUGUCUGAGAUCCCCCGCCUCCUCCACGUCCAGCUCUCUUAUAGUCCUUCGAGAGCAGCCUGCUCGGCUCUCCAAUUUGGGAAGACAAACACACCUUUUCAACUGUAGCUUUACCUGACCACACGUUUAGUAGCUCAAUUGCAAGAAAUACGCUUACUGAGUUGAAGCAAAUGUGUGCCGCCAACUUGCUAAAGGAAGAAAAAGGAAUCAUAUAGACAAAUGUCCCUAGCACUAAGGUCAGUCAUCUCAGAAGUUAUCUUCCAAGUAUUAUGGACCUUAGAAAAUAUUAGAGCGAAUCGGUCCGUUGCAUUGCAUACACCGCCUUAAGCUACCUCCGGCACCAAAGUUCAUCCCGUGGUUCACGUUUUUAUUCUCAAGCAGUGAUUAGGCGACAAUGACCAUGCGGAUAGUAACCUACCUGAUCAUAUCCAUAUCCAAAGACUCGACGGUCAAGGACCAUGCGGUAUGUACAGUUACGCUAGUUGGAGUCUUUGUGGAGUUAAUUAGUCAAUUUGUAUUAGCGGGUACUGAGUACUAGUUUUCCUAAUUAUUAAUGGCAGUGGGGUUCUAACCAUUUUCUCCGCUUUCUUUUCUCUACCUCACCGUUCUGAAUUCCAUUCUUCCCAGUAAACUCUCUAACCUAUCCCACUUCUCUCAAUUUUUAUUGAAUUGUGGGCUUGCAACCAUGUGCGUCUGUGCACGAGGCCGCAGUGCCUUCUGCACUCUUAUGAAUGAAGUGGGUCAAGACAUUGCCUCAAAAGAGAGGCAAAACACCCCCCCCCCCCCCNAAAAAAAAAAGAAUUUAGUUUUACUCAUUCACGGUAAUUACAGCAUCUGAUGAUUACAUUCACACAAAGAGACAAGCCAGCCUCCAACAUGGAGACCCCACACGAGACGAAACGAACCACAAAACAGGCCCGACGAACCGCAUGAUGCACAAAUCAAAAUCAACACAUUAAUAUACACUAGCGACCAUCAACAAGGCCUUAACAAAAAAGCAUGCUUCCCACGGCCCCACCCAACCUACAGCAAAGCGAUGUCUCACAACAGAGAUCAGAUAAUGUUAAAAUUCAGUUAAAAGUUCAUUUAUAGAACUCUCAAGCUGCAAGGACAAUGAUCACAAUAAGCAGCACAAUACCAAAAAUCACCAAAAGCAAGCACAUCUGCAACAAACACACCAACAAUCAGCUGAAACAGACAAAUAUUAUUCAUUUUGAGAAAUAUUCUAGACCGCAUAUUGGGCAUACCAGUGAUGAAUUUGACUUCUGCGUCUUGGAUGCUUUUGCAAGUUGGGUAUUUGCCUGUGCAGUAGAUGCAGCAGAGUUCUCAAUGUUGGCAUCGAUGUCAUCUGCAGGAAAACAAUGUGACAUUCAUUGAGAGACUUUUUCAUUCCCAAUGGCAAGGGCGGACGGGUGUGUGUGUGGGUUACCAAUCAUGGCUCCUUGAUCAUGGACAAGCAUGGCUAGGUCCUUAAAAAUCUCAUUCACUUCACCAAUCUGCUGCUGAAUCUCCUGAAUGCCUUGUUCUCGCUCCUCAAUGAUAGCCUCAUUGAAAGCAAUCUCAUUAUCCAAUAACAAAACCUCUUGUCUGCAACAUCCCAUGAAUUUAAAAUAGGAGGGUUAAUCCAAUUACAAACACUUCCUGUGGACGUUGGAAACAUAGCAAUGUUAGCUGCUGGAUUUUGUCUACAAUUGUCGGGUGCGGCUGAAAGGAAAGCAUUAAAGACUUGCGCAAGGGUUGGUUCAGUCGGGAUGUUUUCAUGCUCACUGUAUUCAGACAACAAGGAAAAAAGCCCGAGCUAAAUUGAUAUAUCCAACUAAUGAAGGCACUUCACUGGUUAACUGGCAGGUCAGGCAGGAAAUCUGGAUUAUUCAAUAGUGCCACCGUUUUCAAUGGAGAAUUCGAAACAUUGAUCAAAGUGAAAUCUGGAGUGGCCAUUACAAUGGGAAAAGAGCACAAGCAGAAUUAAAGAAACGAAAGCCUCCUAUCAAUUUAACAGACAGAGGACCAGAUUGAAAUUAUCAGUCAGCACUGUUUUGAGCUUCAUAACUGAAACAAUCGACGAGAAAUCUGUAGGGCAACUAGAUAGGAUAGCACAAGGCAAGUGAGAUGUCCAAUGUAAGAGCGCUGAAUAAUUGAGAGUGUGGCAGCUCAAGGGUGAAAAACCAAUGUACGAGAAUUUUCUAAAAAUUGAUCAAAACUUCUCAGUGCAUAGCUCCUUGGGGCCAAACAACAACAACCAUACCUUAUAUCAAGUAAGCCACUAAUGAUAAUUAUAUAUAGCAAAACAAGAGCAUGGUAUACAGACCUCCUUGAUUCAACAAGCAAUGCACGUUGUUCAGGUGUUUUAUCAGGACGAACAUUUAUCUCACUUGCUGUGUAGCUGUAUCAAAAUGACAAGAGACAAGAUUCACAUAAUAAGUUGGCAGUUAAAAUUCAUUGCAAAGAAAUGAAACAAGUGCUUUCCUUAUAUCCAAAACAAGUGAGGCUGUGAAGACGAACAUGACCAGGAAGCUUCAAAAUAUUCAAUUUGUCAAAGUCCUGAACCCUUUUGUACAACAGAAAUAUCGAACAAAAUAUUCAAUAAGAGCUAAAUAAGCUACACCGCUAGGAUCCAGCCAAGUAACACUACCUUGAAGGAAGCACUGCUUGGGGAACAAAUGAAGUAUAAGCCGUCUCCCUCUGAACUGCAAGGUUUUGAGCUUUUUGGAACUCUUGCAUAAUUGCUUUGAAAUCUUUUGCAAGCUUCGCAUCAGCAAUCUUUUUGCUUGCCUGCAGUGAAAAUAGAGAUUUCUUAGAACAACAAAGAAAUAUAAGUAGAGGAUAGAGUUAUAAAUAUAACCUGAUAUUAAUAAAGUUAACGACAAACUGCGAAAAUUGCACAAUGCUGAAACCACUCAUCUAUAAACUUGUAACCCUUUCUGAACAAAAGAGCACCUCAAAUUACAAUAGAAAUAAACGCUUGGAAACUACAACAUGGUAAAGGAACAUAAUAGAGGCUAUGUACAAAGCAGGGAACUGGACCUUGAAGCUUCAGAAGGCAUGGGAACUCAUCAUCUGUCAUUAACAUAGCCAAAGGGCAAGCCAGAGAAUUGUGAAAAUUAUUCAAAAAAUUGAGCCGCACAAAUUAGGCAGAGGGAAGAACAAGAAUCCUUGCAUAACAAGAAAGAAAGUUUUUUCUCCUGCGCACUCUAUCAUGCUCUUCCUAGUAAAAGAUGGUAACAACUCUGUUGAAAGCACUAGAGAUGAACAAUUCAAGUCAUAGGUUGAAAAAUUGAUAACGAAGUAAGUUACCACUGAUUUUUUGUAAGCCAUUGCACGAUUAGCUUUUGCUUUUGUCCAGAUGCACCUUGAGAUUUUGAGAGAGUACUUGAAGUGAGAGCAAGCAAGAUUAAUACAUAUAAACUAGAUUUCAUUUUAACUGUUUGUAGGGCCCACAUAUAUUGGAAUUCAGCCCACACUAUAAGAAACUUGUAUUUUAUCGAGCAACAAGUAAGCAAUUUGAUCUGGUUAGGGCCUAAUGCGGUCAAGUUUAAUUUAGGGUGCUCUGGAUAGCUCACUUGCAUCAGAACAGCAACUGAGGCUUGCAAAUCAUUCAAAUGUGGAAUCAUGCGUUCCAUUUAUAAGAUCAAAGAGACAGAGUGGAUAAGAAGAAAAGGUUCUAAUAAGAUACUUACGCUGAUUUCGCUGUUUUUAUCUGCUUCACUAGCUAGUUUGAGUUUGUCCGUGGUAUCUUUUAUUAGCUGAAGAAUAUGUACCCGUGUUUUGUGCCUGCGAGAAGGACAACAUGAAAUAUUGAAUUGGGACAGAAAACAAAGUUUCACAUGGAAUAGUUGGCGGAAAAUUCAGCAAUAUAGUUGAUUGUCAACAAACAGCUGCCAAAAGAACUUUGCAAGCACAUUGCAUCUCGGACUGAGACGAAAAGCAGAGCUUUUCAAUGUUACUCGGGACAAAGAUUGAGGGAUCAUCCGCCUCAACAAAUAAAUAGACCAUUAAAAUAUCAACGCAGGUGCCUUAUGGUUGGCCUUUUCCAAAAGCAAUAAGCCUUGCCAUCUUGAUGAAGUGCUCUAUCGCGUCGCGAUAUGUUGGCCGUGCGGCCAAAUACAGCCGCAGAAUAAAAGACCAGGUAAAACUCUAAACCUGUCGAAAAGAAUUUAGGAGAGAAAGAUGUUGGCCUUCCGUGGACUUCCUCUCGUUGAAAAGGAACGGACACUAAAUUCCGAUGGAUAAGAAACAUCGUCGAGAUAAGAAUCAAAGUACAGAUCAUUCGGUAAUUAAUCACUAGCCAAAGAAAAGAGUUUUUUUUUUUUGUUUUCAGCGAAGAAAAAUCAUUUCAAGAUCAGGGAGAAACAACCAAUACCAGGAAACGAACCAAUCUAGACAAUCUGACAUUUUGACCUGCAGAAGUAACAAAAAAAAAAAAAAAAAAAAAAANNNNNNNNNNNNNNNNNNNNACCAAUACCAGGAAACGAACCAAUCUAGACAAUCUGACAUUUUGACCUGCAGAAGUAACAAAAAAAAAAAAAAAAAAAAAAAAAAAAAAAGGAGGAAAGAGGAAGUAAAGGGAAGUUGCGGACAGCUUAUCGCGGAGGUCGGGCGUGUCCUUGGGGGUGCCGAUGGUGUUGACGAGGCGCUGGAAGGUGGCGACGGCGGUGGUGAUCUGGAAGACCCCCGACGCCACCGCCUGCGUGGAUUCCUUGCCCUUCCUCCCGUUGACCGCCACAUUCCCCCACCGGCCGCCGCCGCGCCCCGAUUCCAGGUCCUGGAAGCUCAUCCUCCUCCUCCACCUCCUCCUCCUCCUCCUCCUCCUCCUCCUCUUUCUUCUUCUUCUGAUAAUGAUGCUGAUGAUUUUAUGAUGGCGAUGACGAUGAUCUUUUAUCUCCUCCUCCUCCUCCUCCUUUUCCUCCUCCUCCUCCUCCUCGGGGAAAAACACCGUCCGAUUUCUUCUUCUCCUUGACGACGACGAUGUUAUCUCUCCUCCUCUUCCCCGAAACAAAGGUGCGAAAGAAAGAAACCCUAGGUUGAACGGCGACGCAGAUGGUCGAAGAUGAUGAUUCGAACGCACGGAACGGAGAUGAAGAUCUCGGUGGUAGUGGGGUUUACAUUACAUAUGGGGCUUGUUUGGUUCGCCCUUCUUUAUCUAGGACGGUUCGCUCUUUUAUUACCUAGCAAUCGAAGGAAUAGGCGAAUCCAUUUAAGUAUUUGAUAUACGAAAAUUAUAUUUCGAUUUCAAUUUUUUGGUCAAUGGAAAAUUUUCAAUCAUUGCUUUUUUUUUUUUCCAAUCCUGCAGUUUGAAUUCCAGCGGAAAAAGAUGCACUUUACAAAAAAAAAAGGAAAAAUAAAUAUCUCAAUUAUAUUUUAUAUUUUAUAUUUUAAAAUUAAAUUCAUUUUUUAACUUAAAUUUUUAAUUAAAAUAUACAUUUAAAUUUAGAAUUUAAAUUUUUAACUCUAAAUUUUGAUUUAAAAUUUAAAUUAAAGUAUAGCCAUUUUGAAUUUGAUCUAUAAAUUUAAAUUUAUAAGUUUGAAUUUGAAUCAAAUUAAAAAUUAGUUUUAUAUAUUUCAAUUUAGAUUGUUAUUCUGAACCAAAUAUAUUGAAAAGUUUUAUGGUUUCAUUUUUAAUUCAUGUCCGUUCCAAUUUAUGUUCUGACUUUAUUUUUCAUUUUGAACUGAAACAUUAUUAUUAUUAUGUAAAUUACAAUAGUGAUUCAAACUGUUUGGUUCAAGUAUAAAGAGAAGAAUAAGGACCUUAUUCCUCUCUUUAUUCCCAAAUAAAUUUUUUUUUUGUCAAUUCACCUCUUAACGGCUUAUCCUUUUACUUCGACCUCUCCUGAUAUUCCUACCAAAUUAAUAAUAAAAUAUAAUUUAAUUAAUGUAUUAUAUAUUUUUUUUUGCUAAUGAACUAGAUAAAUAAUUAACUGCUUAAUUUGUUACUCAAAUAAAUAUUUUAAUUAACUAUUUGAGUAAUUAAUUUAUUAUUUUAAUUAAUUUGCUAAUUAAAUAAUUAAUUAUUUAGUGUACUUAUUCAAUAAUUAGUAUUUAUAUUGAUUAAUUAAUUAAUAUUUUGACUAAUUUAACUAUCUGAUUGUUAUUAAUUAAUUAAAUAAUUAAUUUAUUAAAUUACUUGUGAUUAAAUAAAUAUUAAUCACGAAUUAAUUUAUUAAUUAAUAUUUAGGGUUAUUUGGCAAUAUUUAUGAUUAAUUAGUAAAUUAAAUAAGUUGAAUUAUUAUUUAAUUAAUAUUUUGCAGUAAUUAAUUAGGUAAAAUAUUAUAAUGUUAAAACUAUAAUUAUUCUUAUUCUUGUUAUUCUAAUCUAAAAUUAUCCAAACGUUAUUUUUUUUAUUUUCAAGAAAAAUAUAAUUUUCAUUCAAAUAUAAAAUUAAUUUUAUUUUAGCUUACUCCAAGAGUUGUACCUAUCUCAGGAAUAGUCUAAAAUAGCUUAUUACAAAUAAAAAAUGCCUUAAAAAAAAAACAACGGAGAGGGAAUAGGCUUACAUAGACAGGUGACGAUUAUCGGGCUGGGCUCACGUACUAGAGCCUUAUUGUUUAGAGGGUAAGGGCCCAUGCUAGCCCAUCUUGCUUUUUCUCUUCCCCCAAUUCACGUCCUCGUAUUUUUCAUUUAUUAGAUUAUGUUUGGUUCGAAUAUGACAGAAUUGCGGGCAAUAUGUAAGGAUUACUGUAUUUGAUUCAUUCGGUAUAUAAUCAGGUCAGUAAUGUAAUAUUACAAAUGAUACAAAAUUGAACCGAAAAUAUUAGGGGCUGUGUAUCUUGGAUUAUUGAAGGCGGCUAAUCUUAAAAUUAUAAGUUUACCCCUCCAACUAUCGAAAUCCUUUCAAUACGUUAUUUUAAACAUUUUAAUUUAAAAUUUUGAAUUGCCAACUUUUAAAAUUUAAAAUUUAAAAUUUUAAUUUUAAUUUUUUAUUUUCAAAUUUAAAUUUUUAAAUUUUAAAUUUUUAAACUUCAAAUUUCAAAAUUUCAAUAUUACAUUUUUAAUUUUUAAAUUUUAAAAUUUUAAACUUCAAAUUUCAAAUUUUAAUUUUUAAAUUUUAAAAAUAAAUUUUAAAUUUCAAAUUUAAAAUUUAAAAUUGACAAUUCAAAAUUUUAAAUUAAAAAUUUUAAAAUUUAAAAUUUUAGGUUCAAAUUUCAAAUUUCAAAUUUGUAUUUUAAAUUCCAAAUUUUAAAAUUAGAUUUUAAAAUUUAAAAUUUAAAUUUAAAUUUAUAUUUAAAUUUUAGAUUUUAAAUUUAUAAAUAUCAUUUCUAAAUUUUAGAUUUUAAAUUUAUAUUUCACAUUUAUAUUUUAAAUUAAAAUAUAAAAUUUUAUAUUUCUAUUAAAAUUUAAAAUUUUAAAAAUUUAAAUUAUUUAAAAUAAACUUUAGUAAAAAAAUUAUUUGUAAACAGUAAAAAAAAAAAAGUUUACAAAAUAUUNCGACUAAAGACAAUCUUAUAAUAGUCUAUAUUUUAUUGUUAAGAUUAUUAAAUUUUAUAAAUUGAACAAAGUAAUAAAAUAUUAUAUUAAAUCAAACGCGCUAAUACAGUAUCAAUAGUAAUUUUUUUUAGAAAUUCAAAAUAUUUAAAUAUAUCGAAAUACUUUAUAAUAUUAUAUAACUCGAACAAAAUGCAGUACUAUUGUUAUUCCAAUAAUAAUAAUAAUAAUAAUAACAGUCAAAAUAAUCCGGUUCCCAUAAAUAAACAUAAAUACAAACUGAUACUAGGGUCGAACCGGGACCUUAUCGUUAGCGCAAGCACGGGCCCAGGCAAUUUGAGUCCGAGUCUGUUUCGGCGGACCGCCCGUGGAGCGGAAGCGAGAGCGAGAGAGACGGAGAGAGACGGAGAGGAGCGGAGAGGAGAGGAGAGGAGAGGAGCCGCGGUUGAACCUGGAAAGCAGGGGCGAAGAGUUCUGCCGCGGUUGAUCGUGCUCCCUCUCUCCCGCGCGAUCUGUGUCCUGGGAUUUGGCAGUUGAAAAGGUCGAAUGGGUCGACCUCCGCAUGGCGGCGGCCCCGUCUUCCGAUUCACCUUCAACGAGGUAAACCCCUCCCCCCUACUCGUCUACUUUCCCGCAGUUUAGCUUCCCCGUAUCUAUCUAGGGCUGGUCGCUGUUUAGACUUUAUUUGGAUCCACCAAAUAUCUUAUUCCGCAUGUUUUCAUUAUUUACGUGAGAAGGUUGUACGAUUAGGCCGUGUUUGGACGUCGGAACAAGUAGAUAACUUAUUCGAUAUGAAAACUUUUCUAAUAUCAUUGUAAUUAAGAAGUUUGAUUUUUGUUCUUUAAAGGUUUUGUUAUCCAUAAUUUUGUCGAAUAGUAUAUUUGACCUAUAAAGUCAUAUAUCUUAUUCAAAAAGAUGAUUUGAAGACUGAAUAUGAUAUUUCAUUUUAAGCAUUUGAUCGCACUCUUUAUCUACAAAAUGUAUCUAUCAAAUGUAUAAAUUUCUUGAGUAAAUCAAGAGGAUAUACCAAACGAGAUAUUCAUACAUCCAAACAGGACCUUAGUAGAUGAGGAGCGUGGCCAAAUGUCUAAUGUGAAAAGCUAAUAUAUUUAGUAGACCAGGAGUGUGAUCAAAUGUCUAGAAUUAGAUACUAUAUUCGGCCUUCAUGUCAUCUUUUCGGAUAAGAUAAAUCAUUUUGUAGGUGAAAUAUACUAUUCUACCAAAUCAUGAAUAUCAAGAUCUUCCAAGGAGCAAAAAUUCAACUUUUUUUUUACAAUACAAGCAAGGCCUUUUUGUUCUUGCGUCCGGUUUUUCAUUGGAUUUCUAAAGUUCUCGCUUUAGGAUAUUGACCAGUUUUUCAUUGGAUUUUCCAAUAUAAACACAAUAAGUUUCAUUUUUAGUUACGCGUCCUUCAUUUUCCAUUGGAAGUUGAUAUUUUCUCCCCAUAAAAUAUGAGAGAGAGAGAGAGAGAGAGAGAGAGAGAGAGACAUUCCUUUUUUACUCUUUAUCACCUUACAACACUAUGUAACGUAGGUAAUCUGGAACUGUUCUCGCGCGCUUUUCCAUGUUUGUGUUUUUGCUGAGACUGCCUCAGACAGACCAGACGCCUGAGCCGUCUCUCAUCUUGCCAAAUGUGUCCAAGUUAAGAAUUCAUAAAAUUUCCUGUAUUGUUGUGUUGUUCGGCAUGAAUUUGGUCGGACCCGUUUGGAACUCAGCUAAGCAGAUCCAUUUAAGCUCUAUGUGGACUUAGUACAGUGUGUAUAACACUGACAUAAUUACCACGAGUAAGAUACUGCUGCUAUUAUAAUCUGUAUAACACAAGUUUAUCUAGUAAGUCCUAUUUUUAGGUUGUUGAGAUGGAAGCACGCCUGGAGGAGGUAAAUAAUGCUAUACCUGCUCGUCAUGUUAUAUGUGCCCUUGCAGAGAAGUUCAGGUAUGUGCUAACAUCUAGCUUAUCUGCGGUCACCUUCUGCUUUUUCAAUAUCUUUAGUAUUUUAAGACUUAAUACUAAUGAGCAUCAUCUGCCUUAAGUGCAUCUCCUGAACGAGCAGGAAAGAUUGCCGUCCAGCCAAAGCAGGUACAAGCUUGCCAAUUCCCUAUAGCAAGAACAAACCCCUUUGGAAACUUCCGCUCAUUCUCAAUGUUGUUGCAGGUGUGGAACUGGUUUCAAAAUCGUAGAUAUGCACAAAGAGCCAAAUCUACUAAGGCGUCUGCAAAGCUGACUGUCUCACCUAUGGCCCAGGAUGAUUUACCUUCAAUCAGAAAUGUUGUUCCUCCUGUUCCUGUUCCUACUGGUGCAUAUCGUACACUUGAUUAAUUUAUCAAUAUCAGGAUAAUACUCAUUGACGUUUCCUUCAUGACAAGCUAUUCUUACUUUGUGAUAUGCUGCUUAAUGCUUUAUCCAUGUUUGAAAUUUAUUUCACCCAAUAUUUUGUAGUUAUGGGUGACCCUCUCAGGUUUGGUGCAGUCUGUUUAGGAAGGGUCUAGUUGGUUCUGGGUGGGGCUAGUGUGAAUUCAAACUAGUUUGGGCUGAUUCAAUUUUCUGUAAAUUUGCAUUAGAUUCGGCCUUUUUGUUUGCCGGUGUGAUUUGGCCUAACUUAUGGACAUGCUGAGGGUUCUAUGUUCGCUGUUGGAUUAUAUAGCUUUCUUUUUUUUUGGGUACAAUCUUCGGUUUUGAAGUUCUCUUUCAAUGAAAAGGUUUCAACUCUUGAGAAGAAGAGGACGAAGUUACAAGAGGAGGGGCACUUAUAAGGAGGCAAUCAUUUUAACAUCUGUAAAUAGCUGUGACCCGCUUGAGAAUCCAUCAAGAUUCUCAAAUUUUUUUUGUUACAUUGAUUGUUUUGUUCUUCUAGGAGAUCUUUGUUUCUUUUGCUUCGAGGGAAAAUCUGCUUAUUGAUGUUCAUUUGACAACUUUUUAAGUUACCAAUGGUACUCAAGUUUUCCUCCUCUUCUGUUAGUUUCUGAAUUUUGUUUUUACUUCCCCUUUGUUCUUGAGACACUGUAGCCAUAUCAUCAACCAACAGAAAUUGUUGUUAAUUUGUUGAUUGUUGAUUUGCAGCGUUUGCUGUUUUCCUUUGUGCCUAAAAUCACCUAUUUUUAAGUCCUUGGGUUCUAUUGCUCUCUAACUUAUUGUUAAGCAUCUUUGAGACUUUUGUGAUUCGUAACCAUCAAAUGCAGGAAGAAAUUCUCUGGAGAAUGGCCAAAUGGAAUUUGAAGCGAAGUCCGCUAGAGAUGGGGCAUGGUAAGUAGUCAAUUUAUGUGUGAUGUUUUGUCUAAGUGAUGAUGUUGUGUCUAAGUGAUCAUCAGAUAAUACCUUCUUCCUCCUUUCAUUGAUAGAUCAAGAAAAAAUUAGUCAUCAUCUAUGCCUUCUUCUAUGCUCAAUCUUCCCUUCACAAAUAUUGAAGGCACAUGUUUGCAAGAGCAUAACAGUCAUUUUGGCAGACAACUCUCAACCUUUAUUUGUAAACUAAUGGUAGUCAUAUUUUGGGAUCAUGUUACAAAUUUGUAACAUUUAGGGCUUGUUUGGUUCAAGGGUGGAAUUGGAAUGGAUAAUAGAAUGGGAAUGAAUUGGAAUGAUAAUUGGAAUGACCCACUCCCCCAAGACGUUUGGUUUAUUUAUGGAUUGGAAAUUAGAAUGAGUUAUUCAAAUUUCAUUGUUUGGUUCAUAUAAACUAAAAAAAUUAUAGAAUACUAUAAUAGUAAUUUUACUCUCAAAUAUAAAUUUAUAUUAUUUAAAAUUUAUGAAAAAUAUAAUACUAUUCUCUAAUAAGUUUUCCAAAAAAAAUAUCAAAUUUAUUUUUAAAAACUUUUAUUGAUGUGGGUUAGGGAUAGGGUUUUGAGAGAUGAUAGGUUUUUUUUUUUUUUUUGAUGAGAAAGGGGUGAAGAGAAGGAGGGUGAGAUGGUCACAUGGGCUUUGGGCUUCCGGAAUGAAAUCUCAAUCCGGGCUAGAAGACCGGAAUCAAGUUGAAGGCUAAUGGGCCAUUCCCAUUCCAGUCCGGAAUAGGAAUUCCAAACCGAUUCAUACAAACCAAACAAAAUUAACCGGAUUUGAUCAAACCGAUUCCCAUUUCAUACCCAAAAUAGAUGAACCAAACAAGCCCUUAGAGGGAUAUAUUUUAUAAUAUAACUUUGGAGGGACAAUGUGCAAUUUUAAUGGAUUGGCCCUUUAAAUUGAACCUUGAACUUUGCUGAAUGUAACCGACGAAACUGGAGCUGAGAGCUCUUCCCCUCAUAAAAAAUGCUUUUGAUUCCCUUAACCUCAAGUAUGCAACCUAGCUUUUUUGCCACCAAAAUGUUAUCAGUUGAGCUUGGCCAACUGAAAGGGGCUUUUCAAUCUACCUUCUGUGAGCUUCUUAGAAUAGUGAAUCCAAGGCAGCUAGGUAUGAGUUGAUACGGUGCUAAAAUAUAAAGUAGGAGUUGUAAAGUGCUAAGUUUUAAGUGCUCUAACUAUUUUUAGAUGUCUAUUUCUGUGGAGUAGCCUCUUUGCCUGAUUUUGUAACGUUAGGUUCUGGCCAAUAGCAACAGGAACUAUCUGUUUUGCUUUAAAACCUUUUCUUUGCAUGUAACAGAAUAUUUCAGCAUUAUUCUGAUUAUCCUCUCUAUGUUUGCUUAUAGAUAUGACGCUACUAUAUGGCAGCUAUUCUUUUCUGUCUUCUGCUGCUUUAUAUUUGAUCUAAUUUUGCUUUGAUAUACAGGUAUGAUGUUCAAGCAUUUCUUUCACAUAGGAUGUUUGAAAUAGGUGAUCCGGUAAUGAUACAUAUUCUCUGUUUCUAACUCCAUGUGCAUCAGCUUAUGCAUGUCUUACUCAAUUCAUGUGCUUUUGAAGUCGAGAGAAAAGAUGCAUUCUACUAGUUAAUUUCAUUUGUAAUUUUCUAUUAUUUGCAUGCAUCAGGAAGUUCGAGUUCGUUUUCAAGGGUUUGGUAUGGAAGAGGAUGAAUGGGUUAAUGUGCGCAGGUGUGUCAGACAGAGGUCUCUUCCUUGUGAAGCUGCAGAAUGUGUUGCUGUACUUCAGGGUGACCUCAUACUUUGUUUUCAGGUGCUGUCAGGUUACCAGGAUUCUGCUUUUAAAGUUUAAUAUUUGUUUCCCUUUUCUUGUGUGUCUAAAGCCUAUAGAUGUUUGUACAAAAUGCCUAAACAUUCUUGUGCUCAAUUGAGAGAUCUGGCCUUAUUCAUUGGGCAGCUACUUUAAAGACAUUCUUGUGCUCAAUCAAAAGAUCUGGCCAUAUUCAUCCAGCGAUUAAGACGCUUUUUAAAUAUUCCUUUCUGCUGCUGGAAUUCACUUCGACCUUCCUUAUUCAACAGCAUUCUCUAGCCAGCUAAAAUCUACAUGUAAAAUUGUGGAAAUAAAAUUUAAAUGCUUUUGUCAUCAAUGCAAUUUCCUAGCAUGAGACAGAUUUAUUACAAUAAUGCUUUUAAAUGAAAGUAGUUGAAGAAACAGAAUAGAAUUUUUUUGGAUUAUCUGUUGAAACCUUAAAAGGAUAAUGUGGUACAUCUGAAUUAGUGCUAUGCAUUUUCACGACGUAGUUUGUAACUAGGAUUUUUCAGCGUAAUGUUUAUAGCUAAGAAUUUUUAGCGUAAUUUUCUGGAGUCAUUCACGAACCUGAAUACACUGCUUUUUAAUAACUUUAUGUAUUUUUGGUGAAAAUUUGAAUAAUCAUUGGGUUAUGGGCCAAGUCCAAAAUAUGCAAGGCUAGUUUUCCCUCAGUUUGCAACUUCUAGUUAAAUAAUACUUUAGAGGUGUUAUAUCAUGAUAUGAAAAAUUUGGUGACAAUAUCUCUAUUGUUAGUAUUGUGAUCUCAAAUCUAUUGCUUUACUGUUCCAAGAAAGUGCAAAAUGUGCAAUUAUUAAGUAUGCUUGAGGUGGUGGUUAAUCUCUCUCCUCCUUUCUCUAUUUCUUUGUUGUUAGUGUUGUGAUCUCAAAUGCUAGUUGCUUGAGCGUUGGUUGAUCUCUCUCUCUCUCUCUCUCUCUCUCUCUCUCUCUUCUAUCCUCUCCUUUUCGCCCUUUUUAGGCUCUAUUGUCAACACAAAGACAUUUUGUUUAUUUUAUUUCUGUGACCCCAUUUACUCGAUUCAACAAUGAAUAUUAGUGGAUUUGCAUUUUUUUCCUUUUUCUUCCUUCAGCAGAAUUUUGGAUCUUCCAUAAGUUUUCAUGCCAUUUACGCAAGUUGUGUGCCAUGAAUAAAUUGCCUUUGGGACAGUUAUGAUGAAUAUCAAAUUUGGAUACAUGACUUGGCCAAUAUACGUGGUCAAUAUUGUUGGGUCGUUUGUCUUCAUUCAUUAUACUUGUUCACAGUCCCCUGGCCUGUUACACAGACCAACCAGCUAGUGGCUAUCUGAUAGUUGUUCAGCUUGCUGAUUAUGCUAAAAUUUCUUACUUGGGUUUGAGAUAACAUCUUUGACCAGUCUCCUUUUGAAUAUACUAGAGUUAACUGUAAGAUUUUUGAGUAAAGUUGAGAAGUUCCUUUACCAUGAUUGUUCGAUCAUUAUGGCUGUCUUGCAUGGACUUGGUUUUCUAUUCUUGGUAGUUUCAACUUUUGACUUAUGCCAUCUUAAUUAUAGUGGUUCAAAAUUUCAAAUAAUGUAAGCUGCUGUUUAUUGUAGGAGUAGUAACCCAAAGUAUCUUUUAGAUUAGAGGUACCAGAUAUAAAGCACUCUGUUGCUUCAUUAUUACAUUCCUAAAGUUUAAAGAUUUCUAGAUUAUUUUUAUUGGAAUUAAACUCAAAUGUUUUGUUUUGUGUUUUCAGGAAGGUAAAGAGCAGGCUCUUUAUUUCGAUGCCCAUGUCCUUGAUGCACAAAGGCGUAGACAUGAUUUACGAGGAUGUCGAUGUAGAUUUUUGGUCCGUUAUGAUCAUGAUCAGUCUGAGGUACUUAGGAAAUUUCUGUUAGUAUAAAUCCUCUUCUCCUCUGUUAUAUGCAUGCAUGAAGUUGCAAACUGUUCUAGAUUACAAAGUUACACAAUAAUCACCAAGUAGCAUUCCCAAUCUGAGAAUAUGUUUCUCAAGGGCUUUUCCCUCAUGUAACAAUUCGUGUGUCAAGUAGGACAGUUGGAUCUUCGUAAGUCGCUCUACCUGUGGAUUGGCCUUAUAUGUCCAGUGCUGAAGGUGUAGCAAUUGCAGCGAUAAAUUUCUCUAGGGUGGGACUGUAGGAAGUAACUUAACAAGUGAUUACUUUUGUAGCUACUUGUUAUAAAGGUUAAGCUUGCAUUUAGCACUUGCUGAUAUCCGUGUGGACUGUUCAUUUUGCUCUGCUUGCAUCAAAAUAGAACAAUGUCCUUUUUCUGGGUUGAGGAUAAAUUGCAAUUAAUUCCACACAAGUCAUCAUUUUCAGUUUAGAGAAAAAGGGGAUUUGCUAUCAAAUACAAUUUUGUUCCACUACUUGAGUCAUUUUUGCACAGAUGGCUUUAGCAUAAUGGUUUAUAGCAUAUGUAGAUGUGUUCUUAGCCUUUCCAAAGAACUUACUCUGCUGCAAGUCAUUUUUUUCUUAAGCCACGAAAUACGGGAUUGCGUUGUUGUUGUCAGAGUUUUUCCAAGAUUGUCAUGUCAAAAUGUUAUAUAGAAAAUAAACAACAGUACUCACUGCUUCAAGUUUACAGACACAGUAGCCAAGUUGCCAUCAAAUAUCCUUUUUUUUUCCCUUGUUUUUUUGAAGAAAAUUUUAAUCAUGAGUGAUGCUACUGUCUGAAAGCAGGAAAUAGUGCCACUGAGAAAGGUAUGUAGGCGGCCGGAAACUGAUUACAGGCUACAGAUACUGCAAGCAUCAAGAGGAGCGUCAGGAGCUAUGGAUCAACGGGCUAUGGUGAAAGCUCCAACAAGCAUACCCAAGGAUAUCAAUCCUAUUGUCACAAAUAGGACUAAUCUGAAGCAGCAGAAACUGAUGGAUGUUAACACUGAUGAGGUGCUAACAGUCCUUCCUGCUGCUGUACCAAACACGGACACAAACACGAAGGAGGAGCCUACUAUCGGGGGUGAUCAAUUUGCCUACACCUCUCCGAUCCCCCCACACACGGUUAGUCAUAGCAAUAGUACCAUUCCAGAUGUAACCAUGGGCGACGCUGUGCCUCCAGGGAACUCUACAAAUUCUGAUUACCCACAAGAAGGAAACGUUGAAGUGUGAAUGUGCUUUCUUGAUUGCUGCAUUGUACUUUAUCACUGUCUAUUAAACUGUUUGGGAAUUAUGAAAAGCUUGAAUUGCUCAAACACAUUUGCAGUGGAGAGUAUCAUUUGAUACUGGUCUCUAUUUGAUGCAUCUAUUUGUUUGGUUGGGAGAUGAAAGGAUUAGUUAGCAGUAUUCCCUCUACCCUUCGGAGCAGAUAUAAAGAAAAACAGUUUUUGUUGGCAGUUAUUUCUGGUACCCAUGUAAUGAAUUUCUUGAAUCAUGUAAAUGUAGGUUAUUUUGGUGGUGCAUAUGUAAUGGAUUCUUUGGAUCACAUAAAAUUAGCGUCACAGCUUGCAUGCCAGUUGGGAUGUAUUUUGGGCCGUGCACCGCUGGCACGCCCACAUUUUUUGGGGGCCCGGUCUUGCCCGGUUGUGCAGCGCCGGAUCAGAUUUUGUGGACUUGUGGCCCAGCAUGGACCUUGGCCGGACCGGAUUUUGUGGAUGUGUGGCCCAGCAUCGACCUUGGACAGAUGGCACGGGCCGGGGCUGGUUCCGUGUGGGCCUAGUAUUUUGUUUAUUUUUUAGAUUUAAAUUUUUUAUAUCUAGAAGUUUUAAAAUAUAUAGAUACUUUUAACUAUUAGAGGGGUAUUGUAGGUCAAAAAAAAAUAAUUUUAAUUUUUUUGAAAAAAAAUUAAAAAGUUUUUGGGAAAAAAAAAUCAAAUUUUAAAGAUCAUUUGAAUAAUAUUUUAAAAUUUUGAUAAAUUUUUAUAAAAUUAUUUGGAUUGAAUUUUUUUUUUUUUAAUAAAAAAUCUGGUGCAUGAGAAAUCUGGUGAUUGGUGUGAAGGAAGAAAAAGACAGUUCAAUUAGACAAUAAAGAAAGGUGCGUAAAAGGAUCAACGAAAAUUAAUUAAUUAAUUAAUUAGGCUCUAUAUAUCUACUCGAUAUAUUUAAUCAAUCGCUCGAAUGACCACCGAACUAAAUACAAAAGGGAGGAUUCAUUGUACAAUGUCAUCGCUUCCAAACGACCCAGUCGAUUGCCGACCAUCAUCGGUGGUGGAGUGCUCACGUACGAAGGAUUACGAGCGCGAAAAUGUCAAAGCAUGCAUGCACGUGUGAAGAACCUAGCUUAUUACAAUUACUUAAUUUCGUUGAUUGACGUCCUUGCUAUUGGCAAUGUUUGAAAGCCAAUAGGCUGCAGACAAGUACGUAUGCCGUGUGCAGAAAAUUAAAGAUGUGACUCGGAGUGUCCACCUGCGUAGAAUCUACCUUCUAUCGUGUAUAUCCAUGCCAUAUGAUAUGAUCUGCAAAAUAAGCCUUACAACAUUUAAACAGAAAACAAUGAAAGAGAAAUUACUACGUACCUUCCUGGUCCACCUGCAGGCCAGCCAUGGACUGCAGGUUUUCUCCGACCAACUUUUCGAAAAGGAAAAAAAACAAAAAAUAAUUGAAGAAAUUAAAGAAUGUAAAUUAUUAAUAAGUGAUUCAAACCGAUUUGCAGUUGAAAUGCGAUGGAGGAAGAUUGUAUGGGCAGUCCACGCCCCAAAAGGCGAAUCAAAUUAGCCGUAUAUAUAUAUAUAUAUAUAUAUGCUACAAAGUUGGAUCAGAUAAUUGCUUACAUGUACACCCCUGAUCAAAACUUAGAAAAUAUCUUAUUUAUUUCUAAAAAAAAUUGUUUAAAAAAUAUACCAACAAGCUUUCUUUGUUAGUAUUUGUUACUCAAAUCUAUGCUCACUAUUAAUUAGCACAUAUUAGUUCAUCGAUCUCGACUGAAAUACUAGCUAUUUUUGCCUCUUUAUAUUUAAUCCAUUUUACUAGUCAAGGAAGAAGAAGCUUCAACUUCUUUUCGCCGUAGUCGAAGAAGAUGAAGCUUCAUUUUCUUUCAACUUGCAAAAGAAAAUGACAAUUGUAAGGGCAAAUAAAAAAAGGAGAUUAUUUAAAAAUAAAUAAAAAAGUAGAAAAUUAUUUAAGGACAAAUAAGAAAAGUAUAAGAGACUGUUAAGAACAAAUUAGAAAGGUAAGUGAUAGUAGAAAGUGUUAAAUAUAAAAUUAUUUAAACACUGUUCUCGAUCUAUAAGCUUAAAUUUUUUGAGCAUAACGAUUGUUUUUAAAUAUAAAAAUAUUUAAACACCAUUUUUUUCACAAACUGAGGCUUAGAGAAUAACAGUUAUUUCACGUGGUAUUAGAGUAAGAAAUUCUGAGUUCAAUUCACACCAGGCUUCUAAAAUUAUUAAUUUUUUCUCAAUUAAUUCAAGUCCACCUACGUCAUGGACCUAUAAAAAGUCUCGAGCGCAGAUAUGAAGGAUAGUGUUAAAUAUAAAAAUAUUUAAACACCAUUCUCUAUAAGCUUAAAUUUUUAGAAUACAAUGGUUAUUUCAUGUAAAGUAAAUUUAAAUAGGCAAAUAGGCAUUUCACAUGCAGAAAAUAAUGAUUGUUUUUAAUGGCGCACUAACGGAAUGUGACUCUUAAGGAUAUACUUGAAAGAGUUUGGAACUUUGUAGGAAUUUGUUUUAGAAUAAUAAAAAUUUAAAAGAAUAAUUUUCAUAUUAGCCUUCUUAAAAAAAUAAAUAUAAAAGUAAAAAACCUUUAUAGGGACGUUCAAGCAGCUGCCCCCCAAAAGUAGAGCAUUAGAUUUAACAGUAGCUGGUUGGUUCACAUGUUAAAGUAGAAGCUGAUUGUUUAGAUAAUAUAUGUUCACAACAACCGACUAAUCUUUUUUUAAGAAAAGGCAUUUGUUUAUAUACCCGAUACUACUAUUAAAAAAUUUUAAAUUUAUUUCUAAAUAUUCAAAAUAUUCUUUUAAAUUCCAAUUCCAUUGCGUAGAAUUAGUUGGAGUACAAAGCAAUUGAAUUGGGUGGUCGUGAGAAUUAAAAAGAUUAUCUUUAGAGUGCGAUGCGAUCUAUUAUAUACAGCAGGGUAGUUUAAGAUGACAAUGGUUACAGCUGUAUUUAAUUUUCAACGUCCUGCAAUUAGCAGAAAAAGUGAAACUGGGCAUUGCUGGCACAUGAAAUUAAGCUUGCAGAUGCAUAUAUAUGGGUAGGAAUACUCGUUAACUAUUUGCGCGAGAAACUCCAUUUCCGUAUGUAUAGUUUGGUAACAUAAUAAUUAAAAGUAUUAUAUAUUAUCAUAAUAAAAAUAUUUUAAAAUAAAACACUUUUAAUUUUCAGUGACAUGUUUAAUUUUUACAGUAACGGUUCAACCAUACUUUUUUAAAUAUAAAACAAGUAAAGAGAAGUAGUCUUAAAUUUUGGAGUAUUUUAUAAUAUAAAUAUCGUAUUUUUAAAGGAUAAACAAAGCAAAAUCGGCUGAUGAAGUACUACAAAAAAAAAAAGAAAAAAAAGAAUUGUACAUAACCUAAAUCAUAAAUAUAAUUAAGCCCGUUCUGUUCGCAGCUAUGGUGCGGCGCUAUAACCCGGCUAGCUCAGUUACAAAAAUUUAACCUGCAAAGUAGAGAUAUUUUAUGUAUCCGGAUCCAUGCACAAUCUAUUUGCCGGGUCUGAAAAUUUUGCCGCACCGUACCCCUUCGCUAGCAGGUUGGGCUCGGAUCCAGUAGUUAGCUAGUCAACUAUAGUGCUCACCCGGUUCGGCAAAAACGAAUUCAGAUAGCCUAGCUAGAUUAUUUCAGACAGACUCUUGAUUAAAAAUAUUAUUAAAUAUAAAAAAUUGUGUUUAAUUAUCAACGAGCCUCGAGUCUGGACGUGAAAGGUAUUAGCCAGUGUCGAAUGUAAAAUAUUCAAAAUAUCGUUUUCGAAUAGUUUAACUUUUUGAAGAUAAACAAUAAUUUCACAUAAUUUAGCAAAUAUCUUAAUUUGCCUGGGGUUUGACAAAAUUAUCAUACUGACAUUUGAAUUAAGUAGUGCUGACUACAGCAUUACUGUAGCUCAAUUAAUUAAUUGGCUUUCGAUUUUUAAUUAAAAUUAAGGAAAUUAAAGACCAAUCAUGUAGCCUACGGCCGGGAAGACUUCAGUAGUUAGCCACACGACUUUAAUUAGCUAGACUAGACUAGAUAUUCUUUUUGUUUUGCCAACUUGAAUUAUUAGAUAAUUUUACCCCACGAGUUAAAAAGGGUUAUAUAUUCAUGGAACCACGCAUACAUGCAAGAUCUUUUGCAAGAGAUGAUUUUUGUUUUUGUUGCUAAUUAAGACACGACCGUCGUGAGUCGUGCAAGGAAACCACACGGUAUCAGCUGAAGAUGGAGGGGGUACUGUUGAGAUUUUGCUCUUAAUUUGUAAUAACAAUAACAAUAUAUAUAUAUAGUUUAUUAAUUAGUCCAUGAUUUGGUUGCCUUAAUAAAUUAAGAUUCCAAAAUGGAUGGGUGAUUCACACCUUUUAAUCAGUCAUAUAGAAACUACAACACGCACACACGUGGCUCCGUGCGAGGUUUUGGGAUACACUUGUCGUGCGUGACCCAAACUGCGUGAUGUGGCUGGGGCCCGCCCGGGAGUCUAAAUCUGUGGGCACAAGGAAACGCAGAGGCCACGUCCAGCACCGCAGAAAUCCCGGCAUCAAUUGCAGAAAAUUAAAGCACGUGGGCAGAUCUGCGCGCGCAACACGUGGCCGUAUCCGAUCUCCAUUUUCUCGCGGUUGUUAAUUUGAUUCUUUGACUGCAACUUCUGUAUAUAAUAUAUGUGGUUGCAAAUAGAAGAUUUGCUCAAUCAGUACAUAAGUAUGAAUGUACUGAGCCUAUAUAUGUGCGGUCUUCGACGACUUGCCCGCCACACCACGUGGACUAUGCUUGCUGAUUCUUGAUAUGAUCCGAAAUCGCAAGAACCAUAUAUGCACGCACGCGCAUACAUCAUAUAUACUAUUAUUUAUUUAUAUAUGGUUGAUCUGUACGUAUCAUGUGCCCUGGGACACUUGGCAGUUCCAGAUUUUUACUGCAUGCCAAAGUAAGCAGACAAUUUAUUCCGCAACUUUGCUUUCUCCACGACUUUUCCAGCUCAAGAGAGUUGAAGAGUAAGAGCCGAAUUAAUCGUGCGCGGGGCCGCGGGCCAAUAAUAAAUAUAAAUAAAUAAAUAAAUAAAUAAAUAAAUAAAUAUAUAUAUAUAUAUAUAUAUAUAUAUAUAUAUAUAUAUAUAUAUAUUGUAGUAGAUCGAGGACGUCGUAUAUCAUGUAUACGUGUGGGGUUGGGACGAUAUCUAAUAAUUAUUUUUAAUUCCCUCCGAGCUCAAGAUUUUCGAUCCCCAACUCGAUCGCGCGGUACGUAGCUAGGGAUCGAGCUGGUGCUCCUUCAAGCCGCGCGCGCUCAGCUCACUUUGCCAGCUCAUUAAAAUUUUGCUAGUCCAACACGAUCAAGCUGCUCGUGUGACCGGGCUCGUUGUACCAAUUGUCUUGACGGCUAGGCGUCGUUAUGUAGUACAUUACUAAUUUCUUUUUUUAAAAAACUUAAAACGCACGUUAAUAAGAAAUGCGGAUAAAACUGAGUAACUAUAUAUGCUCAAGUAUGGAAUGUGCGGAAUGUCAUUUUGUAAUAAACAAUUAAUGCUAGUGCCCUAGCCAAAAAUUGGUUAUAAUUUUAUAACUCUAUCGUCCAAUUAAUAAUCCAUACUUUCUACUAUAGAGUCUUAUCAUCUUCUCUCUUUUGUUUAUUCUUAAAAAUCCAAAAAUAAUUUCUUAAAUCUGAACCAAGUAAGAUUACAAUACUUGGAUUAAGAAUUGCAGCACUAUUAGUUUACAACCCAGAAGGGUUUGUAGACUUAGCAUUUCUCUUUUAGAAUAUGAUAACACGAAAAAGAAAUAAACUAAAAGGGACGAAACAGUACCUGACAGACUUAAUAUAAAAACAAAAAUAUACAAUUUUCAUCAAAUUUUCUACACUGUUAGGCUUAACAAAGUCAAGCAUGAGUAAGUUAAAUUGUUAGAUGUUCGCAAAUUCUUGAACCACAAGAGUUUCGAAUCUAAUAUAUAUUGGUUAUUUUAUUUAGUUAAGUUAAAGUUAUUGUCAAUUUUAUUGAAUUUUAUUUUAAAUUUUAUUAAAGAUUUAACUAUUAAUAUAUAUAAAUAUUUCAUUUAUCUUGUACAUAAAAUAUGACAGAUGAGAGAGAGUAUGUGGUAUAUUUUAAGACUAAUUAAGGUAUUGUGAGAAAAGCAUCCUUUUGUAUCCCUUGGGUUGUAAUUAAAUUCUUUACUCGGCCUUCACCCGUGUAAUUAAGUACGUAGAUUAGUUGUCAAUCCAAGUAAAUUAUUAUUUGUGUAUUUUAUUUUUCUACUUUUUUUUUUAUUAUUUAUCAGUAAUCUCAUAUGUAGAUGCACUAGAUAUUUUCCGUAUUUGUCGUAACAUAAAUUAUAUCUAAUUAUGUUGUGGUUGCUUGUGGAUUUAGCGAGUGGAGCAAGUAAGCUUUUGUUGAUCCAUGUUUUUUGAGAGAUUGUUGAGCCAAGUUGAUCGAAGAUUGGCGCCGUUGAGCCAAGUUGACAAUUUAACGGCUGGGGGCGCGGGGUUAACUAAGUACAUAUAUAAAUCUGCAUCCUUCUUCAUAAGAAAUUAAGGGCAUGGAAAAUAUCCCUUGCUGAAAAAGAAAAUGGCGCCGAUCCAUCAGAGGCCGGGGUUGAUUAAUUGUUUGCUGGCAUUUCAGACAUCAAAAAAUCCACAAUGGUGGUAACACGUGGCCCAGCCCGGCCGCCGAAGACUAUCUAGGAAACUACCAAAAUCCAACCUUUGAUUCGGUAUCAGUUCUAGCUAGCUUCCGCCGCAGUAAUAAUAAUAAUAAUAAUAAUAAUAAUAAUAAUAAUAAUAAUAAUAAUAAUAAUAAUAAUAUAGCUUGAUUGUCAUGAGCGACCAGCUAAUCGAACUUAAUUUGACGGCAGAAUUUGUAGAGAGUUUACAUGCAGCUACAUCGAUCUGUACAGCAGCAGCCGGCUGCUAUAAUUCAAGAUGUUUAAUUAAUUUAUUGGUGGAUCGAUCGAUUGAUGUAUGCAUAUCCGUCACCAUAGGUUGAAGUUUUAUGUGCAUGGUUGGAACAAUUAAUAUUAACGCAGGCAUGCCGCGAAAUUUCAACCAAAAGUAGGAGCACCUACGUAUCUCGAUGGACACGUGGCUUAUUUGACUAACUAGCUAGCUAGGUGCGUUUGGCCGACCUUCAAUAUUCGGUGCUGCGGCUGGGGGAGGAGUUCCCCAGAGGAAUGACGCCGCCAUGCAUAUAUAUUAAUUCAUGUCUGCCGCUGUAAUUGCUUGAAUUGAGAGCUACAUAUAUUCGAAAAGGUUGCACUUGCACCCCGCCCAGGAGUGCAAGCACCACGUACGUACUCCGUCGGGAUCGAGAACUAUAUAUAUGUGCCAUUGACUAGAAACAUAGGAAUUGAACCACAAAUUAAUGUGGGGUCUAACACGCACCCAUUCCAUCCCUUAGGAAGCAAGCAUGCAUGGGCCCAUCUAUAUACAAUAUAUAUAUAUAUACACGUACGUUCGUUCGUUCAUACGUUGCAUCUUCAUCCCAUGGCUCCGAAGCUAUCCAGCUGUCGAUCGGUUGUCCCUUUAGAUCUAAUAAUUAGGACGUCGGUUGCUGCACGGAACGUCGCAAGGCCAUUUACAUGCAUGAUACACAGAUUCUGUACGUAACUCGACUUGCAUGUUCAUGUAUAAGUAGCCGAGCGGUCAAAAUAAGUGCAUUUCGUAUAUUUGACAAUUAGGACCCCUACAUAUAGCACGUCUGUACAUUCUAACAGCCUAGCUAACAGGCUAAUCGCUGAUACGUUAAUACCAGCUGCAAGCUGUUCGAUCGAUCUGCUGACUAAUUUAUUGGACGUACAAUUAAGCCCUGAUCGACAUGGACAUUCAUUCAUUCAUUCAUUCAUUACCCUCGCUAGAUUAAUUGGUGAAAAUUCUACAAGCAAUAUUCCAGCAUAUAUAUAGUUAUGAUAAAUACUGACGCUUACAAUUCAAAAGGACAUGAAAUUAAUCUUAUAAGCCACCAUCUUAAUGUUAAACAACAGUGAUAUAAUUAGUGUAGAGAAAUUAAUUAGCCUUUAAAUGAUAAACCUGAAGAAUUGCAAUCCAAAAAGAAUUAUAGAGGUAGCGUUGCCUUCUAGUUAUUGCUGGUAGGUAGGAGCAAGCUUAGCUAGCUAACUAGUUAUCAAAUUGGAAACCCAAGAAAACUAAUAAAUGUUGUCUUUUGAAUUCAAAUGAAGUGUGAUCAAAUCCACAGUAUGUUGAAGUUCAGAAAUGAAGGUUCUCGUUUUUUUUUUCGGUGCAUAAAAUUAAUUUGAAAAGAGAGAAUUGGCACUUAACCAUUUGUGACAAAUUCUUUUAGCAUUAUUUCAUUACGAUAAUUGCUAUCCUUUAUGAGCAUAAAUAUUAAAAAUACGUACCAUUAUCUGAAAGUUUUAUUUCACAUAAUUUAAUAUCCUCCUAAAAAAUUAUCGCAAAUAUCCAAAAAAAAAAAAAAAAACUUCAUAUCAACACAGCAACACAAUUAAUGAGUUGUAAAAUCAAAUAAUGGGCACAUUACCUCUCUUUUGAAAAUUUCUCUUACUUAUUAGUUGUUUCGAAUAAUUAAAUAUCCUACUGCAGCCUUUCCUUUCAUACAGUCCUUAUUUCUUUUUAUAAAACUAUAAAAAAAAAAUGAUUCUACUAAUGAUUAUUUUUACCGACCGUCCCUAGAGUAAAUGGCAAAAGGCUUGGUGGUUGGUAUCCGAGGUUUCAAGUUCAAAUCCUAGUUGAUUCACAUUUCUGGCUAAGUUUAUUUCUAAUUGAAAUAAACGAAGCGGGUAGCGUGCUUUCUAUCUCUAAAAAAAAAAACUAAUGAUUAUCUCUCUGUCCGAAUUUAAUAGAUUUAGGUGAACGGCACACUAACUAUAUAUUAAAGAUUCCAAUCUAAUCUUAUAUCUCACUUUCUGUUUCCAUCAACAUCCCUGCUAUCAAUACGAAAGUAUGGUUCAACGAGCGAGUUAUGAGUUUGAAUUCAAAGUGACAUCUCAUAAAUUGAAUGAAACUUACGAAAUAGUUUGUUGGUGUACUAUUAGUCGCCUAAACCAUCGUUUUGGCUUGCAAGAACAAGUUUACACUAACAAUCUUACAUGCCUAUUUAUAACUUGUUGGACAACAUAAAAUCUGCUGCAUGUUCGAUAUAUAGUUUACUUUUUAAAAAAAAAAAAGAAAAAACUAAACUAAAGCUAUAAUAGAUAGAAUCAUUUCUUAUUUUAUCGAAUAUAAUCCUACUAAUUUUAACGUUGAAGACCGAUAGAAGGAAUUGUCAAAUUAAAAUAGUCCUCCAAUAGAAGGAAUUGUCAAAUUAAAAUAGUCCUCCAAUAGAAGGAAUUGUAAAAAUUGUCCUCCAUGCGUAUCUAGCAGAAACGACAAAAACAACUUUUGCGACAGUGUUGAGCUGGAGAUGAGAUUCCGCUCCCUCCACCCCACCACCGCUUCAUAUAUAUAUAUAUAUAUAUAUAUAUAUAUAUAUAUAUAGGGAGAGAGAAAGAGAUAUUACCCAUCGAAUCGAUCACAAAUAUAAGAUUAAUCGUUUCUCCCGCUGUCAUAGAUCGAUAUAUACAAACUUCUCCAUCUCAUUCCCAAAACUAUUAACCGCCGCCACUCCCUCUCAAUUCGAUAAGGGAGUAGCUGGCGGUGGUGAUUAACAAGAGCAGGCCCGACGAUAUAUAUGAAGUCGGGCAUUAAUCCCGCGAUCAUCAUGUCUUUGCCUCUCUUACCACUAGCAUCCGUCCUCCUCCUCCUAUGCCUUAUUGUCUGCAUCCUACUCAAAGCUUUGUCCUCGUCGACUGCUGCUGCUGCUAAUAAUGAUAAGAAGCUGCCUCUGCCUCCGGGAUCCAUGGGAUGGCCCUAUAUCGGAGAGACCUUCCACCUCUACACCUCCAGAAACCCAAACAUCUUCUUCGCCCUCAAACAGAAAAGGUGCGGAUUAAUUCCUAUACAUACAUACAUACAUACAUACAUCAGUUUUCCAACUUAAUUACAAAUGGCAGUAUGCAAUCAAGACGACAAAAUCUAGGUCUUGACUAUAUUAAGUCAUUAAAUAAUUAAUUAGAGAUUAAUUAUUAAUCACUCGAUCGAGCACAUUUAUCAUAACUAAAUUUGCUGUUGAUCAUUGCGGUGUUAAUUACUUCAAAACUAAAUACAAGUUAACGUACAUGUAUAUGCAGGUAUGGGUCUAUCUUCAAGACGCACAUACUGGGUUGCCCGUGCGUGAUGGUGGCGAGCCCGGAGGCUGCGAGGUUCGUGCUGGUGACGCACGCCCACCUCUUCAAACCCACGUAUCCAGCCAGCAAGGAGCGCAUGCUGGGUCCCCAGGCCAUCUUCUUCCAGCAGGGCCGCUACCAUGCACUCCUCCGUCGCCUCGUCCUCCGCGCUGUCAUGCCCGACGCCAUUCGGGACUCCGUCGCCGCCAUCGAGGCAGUCGCCACUCGCACCCUUGCCUCGUGGGAGGGCGGCCGCAUCGUCAACACGUUCCAAGAGAUGAAGACGGUAAGUGCGUGCCUGCUUCCAAACGUCCCGCCCAUUUUCGAACAGCAGUACUGAAAUCCAUCCUAGCUAGCUCACCAGCGAGCUAGCCAGCCAGCCAGCCAGCCAGCCAAAAUUAAUAAAUAAAAGAUAUUGCUGCUCCGGCACUCAUGCUUUCCCUGACAUAUAUCGUUUUGUCUCUGGUUGGAAUUUAAUUGCAGUACGCAUUUAACGUGGCACUGCUCUCCAUCUUCGGAAAGGAAGAGAUUUGCUACAUAGAGGAGAUGAAACGGUGCUACUACGCUCUGGAGAAAGGAUAUAACUCCAUGCCCGUCAACCUGCCGGGAAGUCCCUUCAGCAAGGCAAUGAAGGCGAGGAAGCGGCUGGCUGAUAUCGUGGCCAACAUUAUCUCAUCCAGGAGGAGGAGGAGGAGUAGGACGCGGACGCAGGGGAUCGGAGCAGCAGAGCAUCUCGAGGGCAGCUGCGACUUGCUUGCUUCUUUCAUGGAGACCAACGAAGCACUCACUGAUGCCCAGAUCGUGGACAACAUCGUGGGGGUCAUCUUUGCUGCAAGGGACACCACCGCAAGUGUGCUCACCUGGAUCGUCAAGUUCCUCGCAGAGAAUCCGACCGUCCUCAAUGCUGUAACAGUACGUCCAUAACAUCAACAGCAACAGCAACAUUAAUUAUAACCCGGCCGCGGUGCUGCUGCUCAUUAUUAGGUGCAGGCCCGUGCCGAGGGAGAUCCUUCCCUGGCCCUGCGCAUAUAUAUAUAUAUAUAUAUAUAUAUAUAUAUAACUGCAAAUCAAUUAAGAAACUGCAUGUGUCCCAUUAAUUAUUACGCUUUCUAAUAAUCUGUCUUCCAGCUGCAUGAAUUAAUUGAUGGUAUAUAUUCCUUUCAGAUUCAUUCCGAGAUCUGACUGUAUACAAAUUAAAGAGAUUGAUUAAUUAAUUAAAUUAUAAAUAUAUAUUUAUAUAUAGGAGGAGCAAGAGGACAUCAUGAAGAGUAGAGGUGAAGCGAAAGAGGGGGAAAAGUGCCUAACAUGGGGCGAUACCAGGAGGAUGCCGAUGACCUCUAGGGUGAUUCAGGAGACAAUGAGAGUUGCUUCCAUCCUAUCUUUCACCUUCAGAGAAGCCGUCGAGGAUGUGGAGUUUGAAGGUCCGUACAUAUAAUAUACACGUACCUAGUACAUAUAUAUAUAUAUAUAUAUAUAUAUAGGUGACGGCCGAACGCUUUCUGUUCAGACAACUACAUAUUUCUCACACACAUACAUAUAUCUACAUGAAUGUUAGAACUUAGAAUUGCGCAGCAAAUGUGUCCGAAAAUGUAAAGAUCAGAUGCUACAGGCGUACAUACGUGCAUGCUUGCCUUUUCUUUUCUUUUUUUUCACGCUUACUGAUCAAGUCUAGAUCUUUGCCGCUUUGGUGUACAUACGCAAAAACCAACAGGAUAUCUCAUACCAAAAGGAUGGAAGGUGAUGCCACUAUUCAGAAACAUCCAUCACAGCCCCGACAACUUUCCUGACCCGGAAAAGUUCGAUCCUUCCAGAUUCGAGGUGCGCGAAUACCAUAUAUAGUCAGUCGAAAGUAAAUUAAGAUUGAAUAUUAAUACUGCAUUAUAUAUAUUCUCUAAAUACAAUUAGCUUAUGCAUAUAUAUUCCAUGCACGCAACGGCGCAGGCUGCUCCCAAAGCCCAUACGUUCAUGCCGUUCGGGAAUGGGACGCACUCCUGCCCCGGAAACGAGUUGGCCAAGUUGGAGAUGCUGGUGCUGCUUCACCACCUCACCACCAAAUACACCUGCUCGAUAUUCGGAUCCGAUGCCGGAACACAGUUUGGACCUUUUGUUUUGCCGUUCAACGGGUUACCCAUGACAGUCUCUCGCAAGUGCUCUUGAACGAUUGAAGUCAGCCCACGUCAUAAUAUAUAAAUAUUAUUUACUAAUAAAUCUUUUAUCUUUGGAUUGUUACUGUUGUACCCAUCUCACUAAAUCUUAAAUAUUUAAUGGUCAAAAAGUCGUUGAGAAUAAAUAUUAUUUUUAAACUAUCAAUAACAUUCCGAAUGAAUUUUAUAGAGUUGAUCUAGGAUAAUUUUACAAGUAUCAUCCCCAUGUUGCUAUCACGUUUUUAGCCAUUGGAUCUACUUUUUGAUUAAAAAUAGCCCUUGGAUCAAACACUAUUCCACCUACCACCACCUACCACCAUCAUUUCAACCUCACAUCUCUCCAUCCAAGGGCUAAAAACACACACGUAUCACUUGGGUGAUACUUGUAAAAGUAUUCUAGCCCUACUCGAAUUUUAUAUAUAUAUAUAUAUAUAGAGAGAGAGAGAGAGAGAGAGAUAGUCUUCUAUACUAUCUAUAGUACCGAGACUUCGGUACUAUAGUCUCGUUUUCGAUUUUAGGGUAUUCAAAUCAACGAUCCACACCGUUAAAAUUUAUUUAAGGUAUUUAAAGUCUUUAGAAAUAAAAUUUUAUAUUUUUUCGACAUAGUUUACUUUAUGAUCAAACCAUUUCAAAAUUGUCAAUUUUCAAUGGCUACUAUGGCGAGUUUGAAGUUCAACGGUGUAGAAGAAUCUAAAUUUCUUUAAAUUUUGGUAGAAAAUAUUUUAAACUAUCUAGAUUAAGGUUAACAUUCUUGAUCUUGAAUUUAAAAGUCCUAUGCUCAAAUUUUAAAGAUUAUUUAAUUUUCACCGCUCAUUUUGACAUAAUUUAUUUACUAAGUAAACGAUGUCGAAAAAAAUUAAAAUUUUAUUUCUAAAAAUUUCAUAUACCCUAGAUCAUAUUUAACGGUGUGGAUCGUUAAUUUGAAUACCCUAAGAUUGAAACAAAACUAUAGCACCGGAGCUCCAGUACUAUAAAUAGUACAGUAACCUAAUUCUAUAUAUAUAUAUAUAUUGCAACAAUAAUUCAAAUUUAAUUAAAAUAUAGUUAGAAAUAAGUUUAUGUCUUUUAUUUGAUUAUGAUUAGAAUUUGUAAUUAUCAAACGUGAAAAUCAGAUUUAUUAUCUGUUAUGACUUAAUAGCUAUAUAUAGUAUGGGUGUGACUCAGGAUGUAAUUAAAUACUUUUUAUUAAUAAAAUUUUUAAUUUAAUAUAUACUAUUCUUUUUCUAACAAUUGGUAUCAAAACAAAUCAUACUUCCAACAACACACACACACGCAAUAAAUGCAGAAAGAAUAAACACAAAUAAAAACUUACAUUAAAAUUGUCAAAGAAUAUUCUAAUUAGUAUCAAAUUUUCCUCUAAAAAUAUUAAUUCUUCACAAGUAAUAUAUAUAUAUAUAUUAUAUAUUAUAUAGAGAGAGAGAGAAGAGAGAGAGAGAGCAGGGCAGGGCUGCUAUGCUCUCAGAGCACGGAGGCUCCGUGCUCCUGAGCCGUUUUCGAUGAUGAAUUUUCGAAUCGACGAUCGGCUCCGUUAGAUUGAUCUAGCGCAUUUGAAGUUUCUAGAAAAUAAUUUUGCGAUUUUUGAUAUCAUUACCUAGUGAUCGAAAGAUUCAAAAUCCAUAAUUUUUAAUGGUUGAUAUCUGCCGUUUUCAAGUUUAACGGUGUAGAAUAUUCAAAUCAGAUGAAAUUUGAUAGAAAAUUCUUUAUACUAUCUACAACAAGAUUAUAUUUCUAAUCGAAAAUUUUAGUGAUAUAUCACCACUUUUUAUAGGAUUUUUAUUUUCACACGUUAAAAAUUAUUGAUUUUGAAUCCUUUCGAUUGACUAGUCGAUUGCUAGGUAAAUGAUAUCGAAAAAUCGCAAAAAUUAUUUUCUAGAAACUUUAAAUACGCUAGAUCAAGUUUAACGGAGCUGAUCGUCGAUUCGAAAGCUCCAUCAUCGAAAACGGCUCAGGAGCACGUACGGAGGCCUCCGUGCUCCUGAGUCGUUUUCGAUGAUGAAAUUUUCGAAUCGAUGAUCGGCUCCAUUAGACUUGAUCUAGGGUAUUCAAAGUUUCUAGAAAAUAAUUUUUGCGAUUUUGUGAUAUCAUUUAUCUAAUGAUCGAAAGGAUUCAAAAUCAAUAAUUUUUAAUGGUUGAUAUAUGUCGUUUUCAAGUUUAACGGUAUAGAAGUAUUUAAAUAAGAUGAAAUUUUGAUACAAAAUUCUUUAUACUAUCUACAACAAAAUCAAUAUUUCUGAUCGAAAAUUUUAAUGCUAUAUCACCACUUUUUAUCGAAUUUUUAUUUUCAACCGUUAAAACUUAUUGAUUUUGAAUCAUUUCGAUUGCUAGGUAUCAAAUAAAUUGAGAAAGAAUAAACACAAAUAAAAACUUCCAUUAAAAUUGUCAAAGAAUAUUCUAAUUAGUAUCAAAUUUUCCUCUGAAAUUAUUAAUUCUCAAUUAUAUAGGAUAAAUAUGGAUCGUCAAAUAUUUAGAACAAUGAUGAUUUAUACGUAUCAAGUGAAAUAACGGAGGAUACAAUAUGCAUGCAACGAGAAGUCUAGCUGCUACACCACAUUUUCUAUAUCCAGCCGAUCACAUUUUUAUUUUUGAGAGAAAAAUACAGUAAAAUAUUUUUUCUAAAAAUCAUAAUAAAAUAAAUAAAUUUUUAAAAAAUAAUUUGAUUGAUUGGCCACAUCAGCAAUAUAAAUGCUACAUUCUAGACUUAGGGCGCGUUUGGUUCGAAGUUGAAAUCGAAAUCAGAAUCGGAAUCGAAAUAAGCUGGAAUUGAAAUUGGAAUGACUCAUUGCCUAAUUCUAUUUGGUUCGUUACCUGAAUUGGAAUCGGAAUAAAUCAUUUCCGUUGUCAGUGUUUGGUUUAAGUAGAUAUAAAAAGCGUAAUCAAAUUAAUAUACUAACUUUAUCUUUAUAAUAUAUUAAUUUAAAUUCAAAUUAAAUAUUAAAUAUUAAAAAUUUAGAUGUUGAGCGGAUAAUUCAAAAUAUAAAACUAAAUUUCGAUUUAUUCAAAUUCAAAUUUAAAAUUACAAUUUAAAUUUAAUCUGAAUCCAUAAAUUUAAUUUAAGUUUUAAAUAAAAUUUGAAUAAAAUUUUAUUUAAAUUAAAAUUUAAUUUAAAUUCAAAUUUAUAAGUUAGAUUCAAAAUACCUGAUUAAAUUUUAAUUUGUAAUUCAAAUUCAAAUUAAAAUUUAAAAUUAUAAAUUUAAUUUCUAAGUUUAAACUUAAAUUUUAAUUAAAAAAAUUUAAAAAAUAAAUUUAAUCCGAAUAAAUAUCUAUUUCGUCCGGAUUCAACUUUCAAUCCGACCUCUCAGGCCGGAUUAGGAUGGGAAAAGGAGGUGAUUGGAGGAUUCUUAUUCCACUCGGAAAUUAGAAUCGGGAGAUUGGAAAAAGAGGUGAGAGGCUGGAUUGGUAAAGAGGUGAUUGGGAGAUUUCCAUUCCACUCGGGAAUCGGAAUCGAAAAAUUGGAAAAAGAUGUGAUUGAGGGAUUUCCAUUUCACUCGAGAAUCGGAAUCGGAAUGGGACUUACGCAUACCAAACACCUACAAACGAAUUCACUCAUUUCGAUUCCGAUUUCAGGAUGAAAAAGAAGUGAACCAAAUACGCCCUUAGACUUUUUUGCAGUCUUUUUAGACUUAUUUCCCACCCACAA
rnacentral:lncRNA from 1 species